rnacentral:lncRNA from 1 species
UAGUCGGAUUCGUUAACCACUGCGCCACGACGGGAACUCCUCUUCCUGUUUUUACAGUAUGAUGUUUUAGAGAAGACUCUGUUAUCUUUUUUCAAUUAAUGAAAGAUGUUUAAAUGUAGCUAUUCCAAUGCAGUUUAACCUGUGCAACACACCUUUUCAUACUUAUAAUGGAGACAUAUCUCUUUACCAUUUGGAAAUUUCUAAAGAACGUAGGCUUGCUACCUCUCACUCUGGCCCCUGUAUCAUUGAACAAGUAACUGUUAGGAAUUUUUUUUUUUUAAUUGGAGUAUAGCUAACUUAAAAUCUUGUGUUAAUUUCAGGUGUAGAGCAAAGUGAAUCAGCUAUACAUAUACACACAUCUAUUCAUUUUCAGAUUGUUUUCUUAUAUAGGUUAUUACAGAAUAUUGAGUAGAGUUGCCUGUGCUAUAUAGCAGGUCUUUGUUCCUUAUCUAUUUUAUAUAUAGUAGUGUGCAUAUGUUAAUCUCAGCCUCCUAAUUUAUCCCUCCCUCCAACGUUUUCCCUUUGGUAAGCAUAAGCUUGAUUUUGAAAUCUUUCAGUCUGUUUCUGUUGAGAUUAUCAUACUAAGCGAAGGCAAAGAGAGAAAGACAAAUAUCAUGAGAUCACUAACAUGUGGAAUCUAAUAAAAAAUGGUAGCAGAGAGACCUGCUUUAUGCUGAGUCAAAUCUGGCUUCCUGAUGCCAUGCGAUAUUGUUGGCCUUCAUUUACACCAAGAAAUACAUCUAACUUCUAUUCUCUGUGACGGCCCUUCAAGGUAUCUAUUAUUCUCCCCAUACUUUGCCAAGUUUUCUCCAUUCAUAGCUACAUAUCUAGUUCCUUCACUAUAGUUUUUAAGACUUUGAGAAUUAUGAUUGUCUCCUAUACAGUCUCCAGUUGGCUACAGCAUCAUGAGUGUUUUCCAGUUGGCACUUAGAGCAGUGGAAUAUUUACCUGCUGUGUUUUUGAGUAGUACUGAGUAAGAGAAAUAUAAUACAAGUACUACAUAAAGUUUAAUUUUUGUAGCAUGAUUAAUAAAAUAAAAAAGAGAAAAAAGGAAAAUCAGGAUACUAAUCUAUUGUAUUUAACCUAAUGACUACAACAUAUUAUUUUAUCAUAUCUUGAAUAUGACCCAUUAUUAUUAUUUUACUUUUUUUCUUUUCCUAAGCCUUCAAGAUUUAGGGUGUGUAUUUCACACUUAAAGUGUAUAUCUCAACUAAUUGCAUUUCAAGUGCUCAUUUGGACCACAUGGCCAGUGGCUGCAGUAUUGGACAGUACAUUUCUAGGUAGUUUAAUUAUGUUAACUUAGCCUAAAAAAUAUGUUGAUUGUUUUUAAAGUUCAUGUGACAGUUUCAAUUCACACUGAGUUUAUGAUCAAUAAAAAUGCCUAGGUUGGGAUACCAGUUACUGUUCAUCAUCCUAUAUUUUAAGAAACACUUAUUAAAAUAAAAGCCAUGAUUCAAUUCACUCUAACCACUAAUAAAUUGAAUUAUCAUGUUGACUUAGGCCAGCACCUCUAGAUAAUCUGUAAUCUUACUUCUUUUCUUUUUUUUUUUGGUCUUUCUGCUUUUUUUUCUAGGACCGCUCCCGCGAAAUGGCAAAAAGACAAAAAAUAAAAUAAAAUAAAAAAAUAAAUAAUCCAACAAAAAAAAAUCUACUGUUCAUAUAUAUGCAUUUGUGCAUGUGUGUGUUUAUAGUACAGUUAGCAAUAAAGAAGGCAAACAAUGAUAGGUGCAAUGGAAUGCUAUAGAGUAGGGAAAACAAACAAGGUACUAUCCAACUAUUAAACAAUGUGGACAUAUUUCAGUUAUCACUGAGUAAAAGAAGAUACACACAAGAGAAACACUAUAAACUAGCUGUAAUUUAAAAAAUAAAAAUCUUUAUAAAAUAAAAAAAAUUAAGGAUUUAAAAAAAAACAUUUUAUAUAUAUAAUAUAUAUGUGUGUAUAAGCUGUUAUAAGCUUGAACAGUUAUCUCCCUAGAGGUGGGUAGUGACUAGAGGGGAGGAAAGAAUGUUUUGCUUCUUGAUCUGUGUGAUAGUUACAGGAAUGUACUUAGUUGUAACACUUUAUCAGACCAUCCAUAUGUGCUUGCUCCUGUAUUCAGGUUACACCUCAACCAAAUAUUUAAGUAUGGAUAGCUUGAAUAUAAACUUGUUUAUUUCCCUUCAAAUUCCAUGCAUUCCAAACUAAGCCAUAUCUAUUUAUAAUAUUACAGAUUAAGCAUCAAACUGGAAGGGUAAAUGAAGUUAGACCAAUGGUCAAGGUCAGAAAGGAAUAGAAAAAUAUUACAUUCAGGAUUAAAGUAUUUUGAAAUACUAAAGAAAAAAAUAGCUCCUCUUUCUUAAAUGAUAUUUUCUUUAGAUCACAGCCAUUUACAUGAUUAAAUUCUUGCUGCUUAAGGUCUUUUUCCCAGGAGGAGCUCUGGGAUUUUAAGGAAUCAGUUCCUCUGAAUAGGUGGUUCUCGAUCUUGAGCUGUACCAGAAUCAUCCAAAUGGCUUGUUACCCAUAGAUCCUGGGCCCUAUCUCUAUAAUCUCUAUUUCAGUGGAUCUGGAUAGAAUCCAAUAAUUUACAUUGCUAGUAAUUCUUAGGAUAUCCUGGCGCUACAAUUCUGGGAACAUAUAGUGAGAACUACUGAUCCAGAAAAAAUCUUGAGUCAUAUUAUUCACAUUUUGGAAUCUCCAUUGUCCCUGUAUUUUCAUUAAUAAAAUAGCAUCAACUGCUGUAAAGAAAAAUGAUGAGAUGAAGAUAUACAAGUACAGACUUUGGCCCAAGUAGGUGCAGUAUAAAAAGCAGGUAGUUUUAUCUUUAUUUCUUGUCUUUCCUUUGUUGGAAAUCUGAAAAGCCUUCAAUAAGCAGAAGAGACCAGUUCACUUAAAUUCAGCAGUCUAAAAGCCUGGCUAACAUUACAACUCCUGGGGAGUUUUUAAAACUCCAAUGUUUGGGUUAUAUCCCAGAACAAUUAAAUCAGGAUUUCUGCAGGGUGAAAUUUAAGCAUUAAUAAUUUUUAAAACCCUCCAGGUGAUUCUGAUUUGCAGCCAAGAUUGAGAAUCACUGUUUUAGUUCCACAAACAUUGACUAAGUGUUUACUAUGUGCUAUUCACUGCAGAAGACUCAGUGGACAUUACAAUGAAUGAAAUAAAGUUUUUGACAUUAAGGGUCUUAUAGUUGAGUCAAAGAGGUGUACACAUAAAUGGGCAUAUUCAAUACAAUGACAGGAAUACUGAGAUGUAAAGAUGUACCAGAUGCCAUAAAGGCAUAGAGAAGGAUAACUUAUCUUUGCCUUCACUUUAAGGAAAGCUUUGCUCUAUGUUCUGGUUUAAAUUGUAAAUGAUGUCUAUUUCUUCUUCUUUUCUUUUUCUUUCUUUUUUUUUUUUUUUUU